rnacentral:rRNA from 1 species
CCUACGGGAGGCAGCAGUGGGGAAUAUUGCACAAUGGGGGAAACCCUGAUGCAGCAACGCCGCGUGAGCGAUGAAGGCCUUCGGGUCGUAAAGCUCUGUCCUAAGGGAAGAAUUUUGACGGUACCUUAGGAGGAAGCCCCGGCUAACUACGUGCCAGCAGCCGCGGUAAUACGUAGGGGGCUAGCGUUAUCCGGAAUUACUGGGCGUAAAGGGUGCGUAGGUGGCGCUUCAAGUCAGAGGUGAAAGGCUACGGCGCAACCGUAGUAAGCCGUUGAAACUGUAGGGCUUGAGUGGAGGAGAGGAGAGUGGAAUUCCCAGUGGAGCAGUGAAAUGCGUAGAUAUUGGGAGGAACACGAGUUGCGAAGGCGGCUCUCUGGACUAUAACUGACGCUGAUGCACGAAAGCGUGGGGAGCGAACAGGAUUAGAUACCCCAGUAGUC